rnacentral:rRNA from 1 species
GGAAUCCAUCGGAAUUUGCCCAGUCGUGGGGGAUACGGUAGGGGAAACUUACGCUAAUACCGAUACGACCGAGAGGUGAAAGCGGGGGAUCUUCGGACCUCGCGCGAGUGGAUGAGCCGAUUCGGAUUAGCUAGUUGGGGGUAAGGCCCACCAAGGGACGAUCCGUAGCUGGUCUGAGAGGAUGAUCAGCCACACUGGGACUGAGACACGGCCCAGACUCCUACGGGAGGCAGCAGUGGGGAAUCAUUGGACAAUGGGGGCAACCCUGAUCCAGCAAUGCCGCGUGUGUUGAAGAAGGCCUUCGGGUUGUAAAGCACUUUUAUCCGGAACGAAACGCGCCAGGUGAAUAGCUUGGCGAACUGACGGUACCGGAGGAAUAAGCACCGGCUAACUUCGUGCCAGCAGCCGCGGUAAUACGAAGGGUGCAAGCGUUACUCGGAAUUACUGGGCGUAAAGGGUGCGUAGGUGGUUCUUUAAGUCUGCUGUGAAAGCCCCGGGCUCAACCUGGGAAUGGCAGUGGAUACUGGGGAGCUAGAGUGCGGUAAGGGU